CCUUAGCCCUGAUGGUAGCGGCAUCCUUUUUAUUUUUUUCCCCUUUUAGAGUUUAAAAACUAUAAAAGGGGAAAAAAAUAAAAAGAUAUAGCGGACAGCGGGAUCAGCU
rnacentral:sRNA from 1 species